rnacentral:lncRNA from 1 species
CAUUUUUAAUCCAUCUCCCCAUAUAAUCUCACUAACCUAUCUACUAUAAUCUCAGCUUAGCGACGAGGCGAGUGACACGAGAAACAAGGAGGGGGAAUGGAUUAAAAAUGGCGGAGUAUAGAAUACCUGUAUAUUUAGUGCUCUAGUUUCUGUAAGGCACUAAAUAUAUGAGUAUUCUAUACUCCGCCAUUUUUAAUCCAUCUCCCCACCCCAUAUAAUCUCACUAACCUAUCUACUAUAAUCUCAGCUUAGCGACGAGGCGAGUGACACGAGAAACAAGGAGGGGGAAUGGAUUAAAAAUGGCGGAGUAUAGAAUACCUGUAUAUUUAGUGCUCUAGUUUCUGUAGAGAAGCAGUGUCCGGAGGAGGUUAGAGAGAGAAACAUACUUUUUAGUACUUCUCUUUCUACAAGUGUCCGGAAGUAUGCAUUGCACUUGUAGAAAGAGAAGUACCAAAAAGUAUGUUUCUCUCUCUAACCUCCUCCGGACACAGUCUGAUACGUAUUGCCAGUCCAUACUUAUAAGGUCUAUGGAGGGCACCCAUUGUUGACACUGCUUUGGAAGUGACUUCCGACUACGGGAAAACACUUUAUAAUGUGCAAUUAUAAGAAAAUUGUGUAAUUAAAUAACAUUAUAUAAUAAUAAAAAUGAAAAUGUGUUGUGUAUAUCGUUGUAAAACGUCUUCUUCAAAUUCUAAUGAAUCGUUUUUUAGUUUUCCAAAAAGAGAAGAUAUCUUUAAAGAAUAGAAGAAAAUAGUACCGACAAAAAACUAUAUCACAAAGCAUUCUCGUAUUUGUAGUAAACAUUUUCAGAACUCUUGUUAUGAGCACAUUGGAAAAAAACGAGUAUUGAAAUAUGAUGCAAUAUACCUACAAUAUUUAAUUAUGAUUUAGAAAAUAUAAAAGAUGUUGCAAUGACAUUUCAGACUUCAAAAAUAGAAAAAGAGUUAAAAACAGUUGCAAAAACAGAUGUAGCCACUGAAAUAUCUCCACAUUUAGUAAGACCAACUGAAGAAGAAAAUAAAUUAAGAAACAAAAUAAAGAAUCUUCAAGCUUGCUUACGUCGUAAGGAAAAGAAACUUUCAAGAGUUACUGAAUUAUUAAAACAUUUAAAAGAAAAAGAACACUCGUGCCGGCUGCCAGCAUGUCAUGUGCUCUUACACGAUCUCGCAUAAUAAGUAAGUUACAGUGUUUUUGCGAGUUAUAGUGCUGCACGAAAGAAGAGGAAAGUGUUUUUUUCCAGUGUGUUAUAAUAUAUUGUAAGUUAUUUUUAGAGAUAUGUCUAAAUAUUCUCAGAUUUUUCAGUGAAAGUUCUAAAAGUCUUAAAUUAAUGUUAGAAUUAAU